rnacentral:rRNA from 1 species
GACGAACGCUGGCGGCGUGCCUAAUACAUGCAAGUAGAACGCACAGUUUAUACCGUAGCUUGCUACACCAUAGACUGUGAGUUGCGAACGGGUGAGUAACGCGUAGGUAACCUGCCUGGUAGCGGGGGAUAACUAUUGGAAACGAUAGCUAAUACCGCAUAAUAUUGAUUAUUGCAUGAUAAUUGAUUGAAAGAUGCUAUUGCAUCACUACCAGAUGGACCUGCGUUGUAUUAGCUAGUAGGUGAGGUAACGGCUCACCUAGGCGACGAUACAUAGCCGACCUGAGAGGGUGAUCGGCCACACAGGGACUGAGACACGGCCCAGACUCCUACGGGAGGCAGCAGUAGGGAAUCUUCGGCAAUGGACGAAAGUCUGACCGAGCAACGCCGCGUGAGUGAAGAAGGUUUUCGGAUCGUAAAGCUCUGUUGUAAGAGAAGAACGGGUGUGAGAGUGGAAAGUUCACACUGUGACGGUAUCUUACCAGAAAGGGACGGCUAACUACGUG